GACGAACGCUGGCGGCGUGCCUAAUACAUGCAAGUAGGACGCAGUUGCGAACGGGUGAGUAACGCGUAGGUAACUACCUAUUAGAGGGGGAUAACUAUUGGAAACGAUAGCUAAUACCGCAUACUAGUAGAUGGACCUGCGUUGUGUUGGCUAGUAGGGAGGGUAAUGGCCUACCUAGGCAACGAUACAUAGCCGACCUGAGGGGGGUGUCGGCCACACUGGUACUUGGACACCGGCCAGACGCCUACGGGAGGCAGCAGUAGGGAAGCUUCGGCAAUGGGGGGAACCCUGACCGAGCAACGCCGCGUGAGUGAAGAAGGUGUUCGGAUCGUAAAGCUCUGUUGGUAAGGAAGCGGUACUUAACCAGAAAGGGACGGCUAACUACGUGCCAGCCGCCGCGGUAAUAC
rnacentral:rRNA from 1 species